UACAGAGGUCUCAAGCGUUGUUCGGAUUCAUUGGGCGUAAAGGGUGCGUAGGUGGCAUGGUAAGUCGGAUGUGAAAGCCCGCGGCUCAACCGCGGAUUGUCGUUGGAAACUGCCUCGCUAGAGUCCGGAAGAGGAGAGCGGAAUUCCUGGUGUAGCGGUGGAAUGCGCAGAUAUCAGGAAGAACACCCGUGGCGAAGGCGGCUCUCUGGGACGGUACUGACGCUGAGACGCGAAAGCGUGGGGAGCGAACAGG
rnacentral:rRNA from 1 species